UACUACCACCUAUAUAGCAAAAGAUAUAUAACCACUUUAUAUCCGUUCACAGAUGAUGCAGCUGAAAGACCCCGUCCAAAACGACAAAGGUACAGAGACUAAGCAAGAAUAACAGACCAACAAGAAGAUGACAGCAUCAGCAUCAACAUGCCCACCCAUCAACAAUAAAAUCACAAUGUCAUCUAUAAAUAUAUGUACAAUGAAACAUAAGACUUCUUUUGUUGUAUUGUUAUAAAUCCACACAAUAACACAUUUAUUUCCAUGUGCAGAGCAUAGGUAUUGCUUAACGCACAUACAUGACAACAAAGACUUUUAAAUUCACUACAUAUUUACCUUUCUCUUCGAUAAACUGUCACCAUUGAUCGAAAAUGCUCCGUUCCUCACUAUUCUCAAUCAUAAGCUCCAGCAAAUCAUAAUUUGAAUCCACCAACUCAACUGUGCCCGUUUCUUUUUGUCAUACGGCUUAAAGGGUUAUUCACAGUACUCCACCGACACCGAAAUUAACAUAUUCGAUCUAUCCUAUUCAAGAAAUUCGUAACAGAUUCUUCGAACGGUAUCUAAAUCUGUUCUCUCAUGCCUCUUACCUUCUUCCAAUUACAUAUGUAAAACGAAAUUAGGGUAGACAUACCAGACCCCUUUCUGAUAAACCAUUUUCGUGAAUAUUGGAGACGAGUAACCCGACUCGGGUUUAAU
rnacentral:lncRNA from 1 species